CCUACGGGGGGCUGCAGUGGGGAAUAUUGGACAAUGGGGGCAACCCUGAUCCAGCCAUGCCGCGUGUGUGAAGAAGGCCCUCGGGUUGUAAAGCACUUUCAGUGAGGAAGAACGCCUGGUGGUUAAUACCCAUCAGGAAAGACAUCACUCACAGAAGAAGCACCGGCUAACUCCGUGCCAGCAGCCGCGGUAAUACGGAGGGUGCGAGCGUUAAUCGGAAUUACUGGGCGUAAAGCGCGCGUAGGUGGCUUGAUAAGCCGGUUGUGAAAGCCCCGGGCUCAACCUGGGAACGGCAUCCGGAACCGUUAAGCUAGGGGGCAGGAGAGGAAGGUAGGAUUCCCGGGGUAGCGGUGAAAUGCGUAGAGAUCGGGAGGAAUACCAGUGGCGAAGGCGGCCUUCUGGACUGACACUGAACCUGAGGUGCGAAAGCGUGGGUAGCAAACAGGAUUAGAUACCCGAGUAGUC
rnacentral:rRNA from 1 species